rnacentral:rRNA from 1 species
UACGUAGGGUGCGAGCGUUAAUCGGAAUUACUGGGCGUAAAGCGUGCGCAGGCGGUUAUAUAAGACAGAUGUGAAAUCCCCGGGCUCAACCUGGGACCUGCAUUUGUGACUGUAUAGCUAGAGUACGGCAGAGGGGGAUGGAAUUCCGCGUGUAGCAGUGAAAUGCGUAGAUAUGCGGAGGAACACCGAUGGCGAAGGCAAUCCCCUGGGCCUGCACUGACGCUCAUGCACGAAAGCGUGGGGAGCAAACAGG